GGUGGCUCAGUGGUAGAGCGCACGCCUUGCAUGCCUGAGGCCCUGGGUUCGAUUCCUCAGCACCA
rnacentral:tRNA from 1 species